AUGGGGGUGUCGCCGGGGGGCAGCGCCGGCUACGAGUGCUCCUUCAAGAUCCUCCUCAUCGGGGACUCGGGCGUCGGCAAGAGCAGCCUCCUCGUCAGCUUCGUCGCCGCCGCCAACCUCGACGACGACAUCGCGCCCACCAUCGGAGUUGAUUUCAAAAUCAAGUUUCUUACUGUUGGUGGAAAGAAACUGAAGCUGACUAUAUGGGAUACUGCUGGCCAGGAGCGGUUUAGGACAAUCACUAGUUCUUACUAUAGAGGUGCUCAAGGAAUUAUUCUAGUAUAUGAUGUCGCGAAGAGAGAGAGCUUCACAAAUUUGGGUGAUGUAUGGACUAAGGAGAUAGACUCAAACUCAUCAAACAAAGACUGCAUAAAAAUGCUUGUUGGAAACAAAGUUGAUAAGGAUGAUGAGAGAACAGUCACAAGAGAAGAAGGUCUUGCCUUUGCACAAGAAUCUGGAUGUCUGUUUCUUGAGAGCAGUGCAAAAACACGAGAAAACGUCGAGAAUUGUUUUGAAGAACUUGUGCUAAAGAUCCUUGAGGUUCCAAGUCUCCUGGAGGAAGGCUCGUCAUCGGUUGUCAAGAGGAACAUUCUGAAAAAGCAACAGGAAAGUCAUGCAAAGUAUGGUGGUAGAUGCUGUCAAUAG
rnacentral:rRNA from 1 species